UACGAGGGGGGCAAAUGUUGUUCGGAAUCACUGGGCGUAAAGGGAGCGUAGGCGGGCUUCUAAGUUAGAUGUUUAAUCCCGGGGCCCAACCCCGGACAGGCACCUAAAACUGGAAGUCUUGAAUAGUGGAGAGGACGGCGGAAUUGGGGGUGUAGCGGUGGAAUGCGUAGAUAUCUGGAGGAACACCGGUGGCGAAGGCGGCAUCCUGGACCAAUAUUGACGCUGAGGAGCGAAAGCUAGGGGAGCAAACGGG
rnacentral:rRNA from 1 species